UGGGUAGGGGAGCGUUCUGUAAGCCUGCGAAGGUGGCCUGUGAGGGUUGCUGGAGGUAUCAGAAGUGCGAAUGCUGACAUAAGUAACGAUAAAGCGGGUGAAAAGCCCGCUCGCCGGAAGACCAAGGGUUCCUGUCCAACGUUAAUCGGGGCAGGGUGAGUCGACCCCUAAGGCGAGGCCGAAAGGCGUAGUCGAUGGGAAACGGGUUAAUAUUCCCGUACUUGGUGUUACUGCGAAGGGGGGACGGAGAAGGCUAUGUUGGCCGGGCGACGGUUGUCCCGGUUUAAGCGUGUAGGUGUGUGUUCCAGGUAAAUCCGGUUCACUUUAACACUGAGGCGUGACGACGAGGCACUACGGUGCUGAAGCAACAAAUGCCCUGCUUCCAGGAAAAGCCUCUAAGCAUCAGGUAACAUCAAAUCGUACCCCAAACCGACACAGGUGGUCAGGUAGAGAAUACCAAGGCGCUUGAGAGAACUCGGGUGAAGGAACUAGGCAAAAUGGUGCCGUAACUUCGGGAGAAGGCACGCUGACACGUAGGUGAAGUGAUUUACUCAUGGAGCUGAAGUCAGUCGAAGAUACCAGCUGGCUGCAACUGUUUAUUAAAAACACAGCACUGUGCAAACACGAAAGUGGACGUAUACGGUGUGACGCCUGCCCGGUGCCGGAAGGUUAAUUGAUGGGGUCAGCGCAAGCGAAGCUCCUGAUCGAAGCCCCGGUAAACGGCGGCCGUAACUAUAACGGUCCUAAGGUAGCGAAAUUCCUUGUCGGGUAAGUUCCGACCUGCACGAAUGGCGUAAUGAUGGCCAGGCUGUCUCCACCCGAGACUCAGUGAAAUUGAACUCGCUGUGAAGAUGCAGUGUACCCGCGGCAAGACGGAAAGACCCCGUGAACCUUUACUAUAGCUUGACACUGAACAUUGAGCCUUGAUGUGUAGGAUAGGUGGGAGGCUUUGAAGUGUGGACGCCAGUCUGCAUGGAGCCGACCUUGAAAUACCACCCUUUAAUGUUUGAUGUUCUAACGUGGACCCGUUACCCGGGUUGCGGACAGUGUCUGGUGGGUAGUUUGACUGGGGCGGUCUCCUCCUAAAGAGUAACGGAGGAGCACGAAGGUUGGCUAAUCCUGGUCGGACAUCAGGAGGUUAGUGCAAUGGCAUAAGCCAGCUUGACUGCGAGCGUGACGGCGCGAGCAGGUGCGAAAGCAGGUCAUAGUGAUCCGGUGGUUCUGAAUGGAAGGGCCAUCGCUCAACGGAUAAAAGGUACUCCGGGGAUAACAGGCUGAUACCGCCCAAGAGUUCAUAUCGACGGCGGUGUUUGGCACCUCGAUGUCGGCUCAUCACAUCCUGGGGCUGAAGUAGGUCCCAAGGGUAUGGCUGUUCGCCAUUUAAAGUGGUACGCGAGCUGGGUUUAGAACGUCGUGAGACAGUUCGGUCCCUAUCUGCCGUGGGCGCUGGAGAACUGAGGGGGGCUGCUCCUAGUACGAGAGGACCGGAGUGGACGCAUCACUGGUGUUCGGGUUGUCAUGCCAAUGGCACUGCCCGGUAGCUAAAUGCGGAAGAGAUAAGUGCUGAAAGCAUCUAAGCACGAAACUUGCCCCGAG
rnacentral:rRNA from 1 species